CAUAAUUGCACAGCAAGUAAAAGAUAAGAAGGUCUGGAUAGGAAUCAAGAAGCUGCUAAUGUUGAUCGAGAUGUCCCUUCAGAUGGAUCCUGAAUACCGUGUGAGAAAAUUCUUGGCUCUCUUAAGAGAAGAAGGAGCUCGCUCCCUUGACUUUGAAAAUUGGAAUAUUUGCAAACACAU